rnacentral:rRNA from 1 species
CCUGCCAGUGGCCAAGGCUAAACGGCCGCGGUAUCUUGACCGUGCAAAGGUAGCAUAAUCAUUUGUCUUUUAAAUGGAGACUUGUAUGAACGGCAAAACCUUUUUCAGCUGUCUCCUUUUCUACCCUUUUAAAUUUCUUUCUGUGUGAAGAAGCACAGAUACACAAGAAAGACGAGAAGACCCUGUCGAGCUUUAGCCACUAAGUGAAUAAUAUUACCCAUUAACAUCACCCAAAGGCUUUGGUUGGGGCAACCAAGGAGAAAAAAAAUCCUCCAGAACAAACAGAAGAAAACCCUUCACUGAUAACUUCCUAAAGAACCAAAAAUUGACAUUCGGAAAAAGUUACCGCAGGGAUAACAGCGUAAUCCUCUCUGAGAGUCCUCAUUGACGAGAGGGUUUGCGACCUCGAUGUUGGAUUGGGGAACCCUUACGGUGCAGAAGCUGUAAAAGGCUAGACUGUUCGUCUAUUAAAACCCUACGUGAUC